GUGCUCACUGCAGCAGCACAUAUAAUCAGAGUGGAAAGAUACAGAGAAUACUGGCAUGGUGCUGCACAAGGAUCAUACUGUAGAAGAUCAUUUUUGAACCUUUUUC